UAGCCGUAAACGAUACUCGCUAGGUGUCGGCCACGGUGCGACCGUUGUCGGUGCCGUAGGGAAGCCGUGAAGCGAGCCACCUGGGAAGUACGGCCGCAAGGCUGAAACUUAAAGGAAUUGGCGGGGGGAGGCACCACAACGGGUGGAGCUUGCGGUUUAAUUUGGAUUCAACGCCGGAAAUCUUACCGGGACCGGACAGCAACAUGAAGGCCAGGCUGAAGACUUUGCCGGAUUAGCUGAGAGGUGGUGCAUGGCGUAGUCGUGU
rnacentral:rRNA from 1 species